CUCACAUUUCCACGUUUAUUAGCUUUGGAAAGCGAAUUAAUGUCCAAAUCGUGAAAAUAAAACCUGUGCAAUGUUGUGCACAUUUUUUUUUCAACAUCAUGACACUUAUUUGGAGUCUGUGGCUCAAGUGGUUUGAAAGCGCGAAUAUCCUAUUUGUCUUUACCUCGGUUGUCAUUGGGUGAGUGACUGACUUCACCUCAUAUUGUUUUGUCGGUAGCUACAGUGAGAGAUGCAGGUGUCCUUUUGGUUAGCGAACAAGAAAUGUGAAUCGCUUUGCUAGCUAAUUAUGCUGAACGACUGUUAUCCACAGUUAUGUAUUUGGUAUCGAUCAAAUGGGCAGGCAGGAAGGCAAGUUCACAUUCAGUUGUCAAGACGUGGGUUUGGACAAACAUGCAUUGUCAGAUCCUGAGGACAAACAUCCUUCUGCAUCAAGGUCAACUUUUGUUUCUUUUCAAAGGGCCACAUUUUUGCCCCUUGCUAUGUCUAUAUUUGUCCCUCUCUCACAGUGCUGAAUACAUGCUAAAUGUAAUAACAUUGUCCAGGUCCUUUCUCAUGUUCAGACAGACUAUAUCCCACUACCUAAACUUGCGGUCAGCCUACAGCUAAUUCAUCCCUGCAACAGACUGAGCUGACCACCAUGCACUCUGAGGAUGGAUCUACGGUCGACGACAUCUUCUACUCCAAGGCUGGGCAAUUCUGGUGGAGGUCAACGGCAGAGCGGAGGUUUGAAGCUGCUUGGUCGUCUCUCCCCCCAAUUAGAGGAGGAUCUCUGGUCAAUGAAAGGUUUACCCAAUUAAUUGUUCCCUUCGGACCAUCUCAGUCUCCUGGCCAGGUUCCAGCUGGACUGAAACCCUGUGUAAUUUGGGCUGUUUGUGAUCAAUUAAUAAUCAGGAGGACCGAGGUCAAGUAUUUAAAAAUGUUUGUUCAAACUGUACAUGAUUUUCCCAUGGUGUGAUUCCAUGUUUUAUAAGUUCAUAAUUGUACUUAAUUGGUUCCUUGGGCUCACAUGGUUGUUUCCUACCUGAAGAGAAACUACUCAUCCCAAGGUCCAGAGGGGAUGGGAUGUCCUCUGAAGAAUUGUUUUUGUUUACAUGAAGAGAGAGCAAAACAAACCAAAAAGGUUGAAUUUAGUUCAAAGUUGGAAUUUAUUUGACAAAUUCUCUUACUGUUGAGAUUUGAAUGCAUGAAGCUUUUAGAUUUUAAAAGUUAAUAUUUUGUGAACAAACUGAGUAAACAAUCUGCUACACUAGUAAAUUAGAACAUUUAAAUCUUUACAAA
ensembl:lncRNA